UACGAGGGGGGCGAGCGUUGUUCGGAAUUACUGGGCGUAAAGGGUGCGUAGGCGGUUCGUUAAGUCUGUUGUGAAAUCCCCGGGCUCAACCUGGGAAUGGCAAUGGAUACUGGCGGGCUAGAGUGUGUCAGAGGAUGGUGGAAUUCCCGGUGUAGCGGUGAAAUGCGUAGAGAUCGGGAGGAACAUCAGUGGCGAAGGCGGCCAUCUGGCUCUGACCUGACGCUGAGGCGCGAAGGCGUGGGGAGCGAACGGG
rnacentral:rRNA from 1 species